AGCAGCCGCGGUAAUUCCAGCUCCAAUAGCGUAUAUUAAAGUUGUUGCAGUUAAAAAGCUCGUAGUUGAACUUCGGGGUUUACUUAUUGGUCAGGCUUAAUUGUCUGUACUGGUGAGAUGAAUCUCUACCUUCUGAGGAACUUUCAUGUCAUUUAUUUGGUGUGAUUGGAAAUCAGGACUGUUACUUUAGAAAAAAUUAGAGUGUUUAAAGCAGGCUAACGUCUGAAUACAUUAGCAUAGG
rnacentral:rRNA from 1 species